rnacentral:rRNA from 1 species
CCUACGGGGGGCUGCAGUAAGGAAUCUUCCACAAUGGGGGCAACCCUGAUGGAGCAACACCGCGUGAAGGAUGAAGGCCCUCGGGUCGUAAACUUCUUUUAUAAGUGAGGAAUAUGACGGUAACUUAUGAAUAAGGGUCGGCUAACUACGUGCCAGCAGCCGCGGUCAUACGUAGGACCCAAGCGUUAUCCGGAGUGACUGGGCGUAAAGAGUUGCGUAGGCGGUCGUAUAAGCGAAUAGUGAAAUCUGGUGGCUCAACCAUCAACCCAUUGUUCGAACUGUACGACUCGAGAAUGGUAGAGGUAACUGGAAUUUCGUGUGUAGGAGUGAAAUCCGUAGAUAUACGAAGGAACACCAAUGGCGUAGGCAGGUUACUGGACCAUUUCUGACGCUGAGGCACGAAAGCGUGGGGAGCGAACCGGCUUAGAUACCCUUGUAGUC